UGGAACAUUAACCGAGCUCGGUGGAGAAAAGAGGGGAGACAGGGAGAGGGGAGAGCCAUGAAGACCACCGGCUCACCAAUUCGACUCAAUGGUACUCACCUUGAAAAAAAACCAUGUAACUAAAGAAAAGUAACUCCCUCUCCCUAGUCAAAUCCGCUCUGUACCGACAGUUUCUCAAGGAGGUUCAUCACUUAGUGUGAAAUACCUGUGGAUUUUUUUUUUUUUUUGUAAGAAGAAACACAAGAAUUGGGAUAAAACAGAACAGCUGUCAACAGAAGAUGCGCGCCAGCGACUAGACGCACCGACAAUGACCGACGUUCAAGAGCAAGAGUUCCCCUCGGCGGAAAUACACAUUUUAACAAUUUAACGUCACUUUGGAAAAGGUCACAGGCUCAGUCCAAGUUUGAAGAAUUGUUUUUUUCCCCCUCUUUUUUUCCAUUCAAGAAGGAUGAGUGGAGGUCGCUUUGAGUUCGAUGACGGCGGCGCGUACUGCGGCGGUUGGGAAGGCGGCAAAGCGCACGGCCACGGCAUCUGCACGGGUCCGAAGGGUCAAGGCGAGUUCUCCGGCUCCUGGAAUUACGGUUUCGAGGUGGUCGGGGUGUACACCUGGCCCAGCGGAAACACGUACGAGGGCUACUGGGCUCAAGGCAAGCGCCAUGGCCUGGGCGUCGAAACUAAAGGCCACUGGGUGUACAAGGGCGAGUGGACGCACGGCUUCAAAGGCAGGUACGGCACGCGCGUGAGCCUGGGCAGCGGCGCCAAAUACGAGGGCACGUGGAAUAACGGCCUGCAGGACGGCUACGGCACCGAGACCUACGCGGAUGGCGGCACCUUCCAAGGCCAGUUUACCGGUGGAAUGCGACAUGGAUAUGGUGUGCGUCAGAGCGUUCCAUAUGGUAUGGCCGCUGUGGUGCGCUCUCCUUUGCGCAACUCGCUAACCUCACUGCGUAGCGAGCAAAGCAAUGGCACACUGCUGCAGCAGGAUGUUCCCAUCAUCACCACCACAAAUGCGUCAGGCCAGGAGACUGUGGUCACCCCAUCCAUGCCUACGGGGCCUUCACGUGGUGGCUUUGCCCUCAGCCUACAUGGUGACCCUGAACUUGCCAAGCCAAAGAAGCGGGGCCUUUUCCGGCGCGGCUCGCUGCUGGGCAAGCUGACCAAGUCAGAAUCCCGCACAUCCCUCUCCAGCCAGAAGAGCAAGAUCAGCUUCCUGCGCAGCGAGUCGGCCCUCAGUUCAGCGACUAGUGAUGCCAACUCCACCAUCAGCAUGGGUGACAGUGAAGCAGAGGGCGAAGGCCACGAGUUCCCACCUGUCGAGUCUGACAUUGACGCCACCACUACCGAGGUUUACAUGGGAGAGUGGAAGAAUGAUAAGCGGUCAGGCUAUGGCAUCAGUGAGCGCUCCAGUGGCCUCAAGUAUGAGGGCGAGUGGCUGGACAACCAGCGGCAUGGCUAUGGCUGCACUACCUUCGCUGAGGGUGGUAAAGAGGAGGGCAAGUAUGUACACAACGUGCUGGUGAAGGCUGUGCGAAAGAAGGUGAUUCAGCUGAAGGGCACCAAGGUCAAGCAGAAAGUGGAAAGGAGUGUCGAGGGAGCACAAAGGGCUGCUGCCAUUGCCAAACAGAAAGCAGAAAUUGCAAGCUCAAGAACUUCCCAUGCCAAGAGCAAAGGAGAGGCUGCUGAACAAGCCGCUCAAGCGUCCAACAACGAGUCCAGCAUUGCACGUGUAGUGGCCAGAGAACUCUCGCCUUCAUUCUAUCAGCCAGGCCCAGAAUACCUAAAGAAGCGAGCACUACAAGAAAUUGCUGAGAGCAAUGAGAACGCUGAAACAGGCAUGCAUGAGUCACUGCUGGCUGAGGAGAUCAUGCCUCCAGAGAGCCCCUUCAUGCACGAAAUGGAAGGCCUGAAGCCCAACAUUAGUCCAGCACGCACACCAUCACCUGGACCUACCACCUCUGCUGCUCUAGAUCCUAACCUCCUUGGUCCUGGUAGCUGGAAUGGGGACAGAAGCAGUCGAGGUGGCGGUAGUGGCAGCAGAGGGGGAAGCCGCCCAGGGAGCAGACAGAGCAGUCGUCCUUCAACUCCAUCAGCCAAUUCAGCUCAAACACCAGCUUCAGCGCCAAGCAAGGAGGAGCCUGGGGUCCCCAGCACAAAGGGUCCAUCCCAAUCCCCCAGCCGCCAAAACGCCAAAGCUGAGCAGGGCUCUGACCUUGAGAUUAAGCCUCUACAGAAGAUGGACUUAGAGUCCAAAGCAGCAGAACCUGCUCCAGCUCCUGUAAGGACCAGCCUCAUCUCCUCUACUGAUGAAGAAGAACCACCUCCUCCUGCCUCCAAAGUGCCCUCCAAAGCGGCGACCCCAGAACACAAAGCUCCCGAGCAGAGAGCUGAGGCCAGGGAACCUGCAACAGAGCACCCAGCAUCAAUGACUGAGAGUAAGCGGGAGGCCAAGGAAGACAGAAAAGUGGCUAACAAAGUUGAAGCUAAGCAAUCUAUGAAACGAGAGCCUAGUCCGGCUCCGAGACGAGAACCAAGCCCGGCUCCGAGGCGAGAACCAAGCCCGGCUCCGAGACGAGAACCAAGCCCGGCUCCAAGACGAGAACCAAGCCCGGCUCCAAGACGAGACCGUAGCCCGGCUCCAAGACACGAACCAAGCCAAGCUCCAAGACGAGACCGCAGCCCGGCUCCAAGACGAGACCGUAGCCCAGCUCCAACACGAGACCGCAGCCCAGCUCCAAGACGAGAUCGUAGCCCGGUUCCAAGACGAGACCCUAGCCCGGCCCUGAGAAAAGAAUCUAGCCCAACUACUAGACGAGAUCCUAGCCCAGCUCCUAAAGCUGUGUCUAAGCCUGAACCCAAGGUUGUGCCUAAACCAGAGCCCAAAGCUAUCGCCAAACCAGUCGCUAAGCCUGCUCCCAAAGUGGACCCCAAAGCUGAGCUGAGACAGAGGGCUUUGGUGAAAACCCCUGAUGAAGUGACUGGAAUCACAGCACCAGAAGAGGGCCCAAAUACGAUUAUGAUCUGCAUGGUCAUUCUGCUCAAUAUCGGUCUGGCCAUUGUUUUUGUUCACAUCCUGUCCUGAUGGAAAGAUAUCCAAGUUUUUGAAAACUGGGGUGCCCAAGUGGUGCAACAGGGGUCCAGUAAAGCAUAAUUUCCCAUGCUCUCUGGUUGGGAAAGAUGGCGUUACUCUCUCCAAACAACAGAACAACACUAACCAUUCAUGGAAGUCUGAGAGCUCAUAAUCUUUUUUUUUCUUCAAACCAAGAACAUCUAUAUUGAAGAAAGAAGAGAGAGGAGCUGUGAUGGAUGCCACAUGCUUCCCUUGAGGCUUCACUGAUGUGAUACAGUCUCAAUAAAGCCCUCUCGAGCCACUUGAAGGACAGUUACUAUGUAUAGUUGGAUUGAAGGAUGACAUACAGUGAAAGUUUCUGUGUCUGAAUGGUGGAGAGAGCUUUGCUCUCUUAGGAUGGAAAGCAUUUAUCUGUAUUGUGCUGCUUUAAAGAACGAUUCUUCCCAAAUGAACAGUGCCAUUUACUUAAAAGGGUGAAUAUAUUUUAUGCAAAUCAAGCAUUGAUGUCAAGCUUACCUGGUUUACCACUGAUUAUCAAUCAAAGCCAUAGUUUCAGAUCAGUCUGAGAUCACGUGAAUUUAAAGAAGGAAAAAAUCUACUAAUUGGCCAAAAAAAAUGUUUUGUGCUUAUUACCACCUGACAAAUGUGUUGAAACUACUUUAUUAAUGUGCAAUAAUGCACACUCAAUAAGAUGUCUUAAAGUCUCACAAUAAGGCCUUUUCCUUCAGUCUCUAAUGCAGUCUUCUAAUACAUGACACAUACAAACUUUUUUCAAACCUCAUGAUAAAAAAAAUGGAUUCUGCAAUAAAUCUUUGACUAUUACAAUAUAAGCCUAAGUAUAAGAACAAAGCAAAGGUCAAGAAUUUCAUUUCAUGUGAGGAGCUGUGUGUCAUAUGGUUUUGCCUGAUGUUCCUCAGAAGGUUUUUCUUUCUGAAUAUAACAUCCCACUUCCAUUUACAGUGUCUGAAAUUUUACAAAAAUUAGCAAAAACAAAGUUGUUUAGCUAAAGAAACAUUGUACUGUGAACAUGUUUGUGCUUGCAAAUUUAAUUUUUGAAAGUACCAUUUGCAGAAACUAAAGUGGUGACGUUUGAGUACUCAAACAAAACUGGUUUUGUAUGCAUGUAUGUUAAGGGUUUUUCUACCUUUCUAAAAUUGUGACGUUACAUUACAGCAACAUGUGCAUUUGCAAAUAUUGUAGAGUCACCUUAGAACAGGGGUGGCAAUCUGCAGAGGGCCAGCGUGGCUGCAAGCCUUCAUUUCCAGCCAGUCAGGAUCUACAGCUGUUCCCACUUGAUAAAUCAGUUGAUUGUGGAUCAUGGAGCGUGAACCUGCAGUCACGCUGGCCCUUUGCGGAUAGGAUUGGACGUCCCUGCCUUAAAAUAUUGCAAACAUAUGUUUUGAUUAAUGUCUCCCUAUUAGAAAAGUAAUUAUUACCUCAGACUUUGCAUUGAAGAAUUGGUUUGCACCAUGAUGAUAGUCUUUGCCCAAAUAUUUUAUUUUAUUUUGAGAUUUUAUUUGGACAUAAACAGUAAUCAUGGAUCCUAAAGCCUUCAUCUAGGUCUUUGACCCAUUACCGAAGGAUAUGAAGAGAAAUUAGUGAGUUACAUGUAAUUGCUCUGAAACAGCAUUCAUCUGUUUUGGCUUGUAACCGUUUGCACUGGAGUGGUUUGAUAUGGCAGUGUUUUACAAUGCAAAUUUGCCAAUGUAUUUUAUUCUCAUCAGAGUGCCACCCACAAAUGUCCAUGUUAUGAAUAAAAAAAAAAGUCAAAGAUGUUAUUUAUUCAUAGGUUUGUUUUCAUAUGAAUGCAUUAAUUCAUGCUUUCACUGGCCAAAUAGUGCACACAUUCAGAAUCUGGAUUUCUCAAUAUGACUUCCAAAAUGUUCAUCCCAUGUAGAUGAUUUAAUUAACGCAUACUUGUGUUUGCACCUUGGAAAGGAAUUAAAUCACAGCACUCAAAAUGCCAAGUAUAAAUGUAUUGUGCUGAGCAGUACCACUGAAUGCAAAUAAAUCUAUUUUUCAACUGUAA